rnacentral:rRNA from 1 species
UAGGGAAUCUUCGGCAUUGGACGAAAGUCUGACCGAGCAACGCCGCGUGAGUGAAGAAGGUUUUCGGAUCGUAAAACUCUGUUGUUAGAGAAGAACAAGGACGUUAGUAACUGAACGUCCCCUGACGGUAUCUAACCAGAAAGCCACGGCUAACUACGUGCCAGCAGCCGCGGUAAUACGUAGGUGGCAAGCGUUGUCCGGAUUUAUUGGGCGUAAAGCGAGCGCAGGCGGUUUCUUAAGUCUGAUGUGAAAGCCCCCGGCUCAACCGGGGAGGGUCAUUGGAAACUGGGAGACUUGAGUGCAGAAGAGGAGAGUGGAAUUCCAUGUGUAGCGGUGAAAUGCGUAGAUAUAUGGAGGAACACCAGUGGCGAAGGCGGCUCUCUGGUCUGUAACUGACGCUGAGGCUCGAAAGCGUGGGGAGCAAACAGG